GUCCUCACUUCAGCAGAACAUUUACUAAAACUGGAACAAUAUAAGGAAGAUUAGUAUGGCCUCUGUGCAAGGAAGACACUUGAAAUGGGGAAGCAUUCCUUAUUAUU
ensembl:snRNA U6 U6 spliceosomal RNA